GGAUUGGUUUUUUAGAAUCACACCAUAAUACGUCAUAAAGGAUAUAAAACCAUGUCUUGAACAAUAGAAUAAGGAGAACAGCAAAAUACUGAUUGGCUGUGCUGUCUCACAGAUAUCUGCAGAAUCUGUCAAAUUCUGAUGCUGGAACCUUUGUUAUAAUAAACCUUUGAAAACAGAGUACAGUGUCGGCGGAUCUUCUUAUCAUCACAAGCAUGGACCAGCAAAAGUGUUUCUUUUAGUCACUACAUUAAUGGCGACGAGAUUGUUUUCUUUGGGACGUGCUACGUCUCUUCUUUGCAUUCCAUUCCUGGGCUACAAAACGACUACCUCUCAAGAAGCCGGCAACUAAGGAGACGAGAAGGAGGAGACAGAGAGAGAGAGAGAAAGAGGAGGGGCUGACAUCAACUGACACCAGUGACGGCAACCCAGUCCAAAUCAAGGC